rnacentral:lncRNA from 1 species
CUGCCUCCCAAGUGCUGGGAUUAAAGGCGUGAGCCGCCACCACCGGCCAGCUUCUACUUUUUACUUAAUGAAGUUUUACUUUUUCCCUUUUGCUAUAUAUUUGUUCCUUGUGUAUGUUUAUCCUUGAGGAGGCUACAUAGUAGAGAUUAAAAUUACUGUAUUGCAGAAACUGGGGCCUGGGACUCAUCAUCCUCCUGCCUCAUCCUCCCAGCUGCUGGGAUUAUAAAUAUGCCACCAGGCUACAUACCUUACAUUGCAACAUUAAGUAGCAUAAAACAAGUAAUCAGAAACCAGACAAUUGAUAAAGGGGAAUUGUUAACCGGGUGAACACACUACACAGCCAUCCGUUCAAAUAACAAACACUCCCUGUGAAGGUGAUAUUGAGAAAUGUUCCAGUCUACAUAGACAAGUGUGAUGUUUAAUUCACUGAGCAGUGACUAAUGCGUGGGAAAUAUGAGACGUCAUCUGUCUGUCUCUAGUUCAUAAUCGGUGAGGCAAGAGCACAGCGUAAUAGUUUUGGUAUUACUUGGGUGCUUGCACUGAAUGGUGGGCUCUUGUGUUUCAAGCUUCUUUCACUGAGAAGUUGGUUUUGUUUGACAUGCCAUUGGCCUGUAUGUGAGCGCAUCCCCUUAAGCUCUGGAAAGAGGAGUCUCAUUUUGCAAGAUAACAGGUGUACCUGGUCAGCUUUUCCAACAAGGGAGAGGCACUUUCCCCUGUCUUCUGGGGACUGUGAGCCUGAGAUUUAUACUUAAGGGAACUCCCUUGGGUGUAGAAUCAGAUCUGGAUCAUGUGACCAACCCAUGUUCGCCUUAAACAUGUUCUCAUGUGCAGCGUGGCUCAUGUGGAUGUCUGAGGAUAGUUUUGGGAACCUUUUUCUCCUACUACUUGGAUUUGUGAGGUUGUCUUCAGCUCAUCAGCCUUGGCAGCAAGCUCCUGUACCUGCUGAGCCAUCUCACUGGCCCAUGCUUUGCAUUUUCACCGUGAAUUUUAUUUUGCACACAGUAUCAAGGUCUAGUAAAAUAAAAUGUAAUGUUUGGAUUCUU